ACACUUUGGCAACACACAUGCUAAAAUUGGAAUGCUACAGAGAAGAUUUGCAUAGCCCUUGUGCUACGAUGAUACGCAAAUUUGUGAAGCAUUCUACAAGUAA